rnacentral:misc_RNA from 1 species
CAAAUUUUACCAUUGCACGAACUGUGGCGUUUCGUUGCUAGAGGAACGAUUACAUUUCUUUCUAAUUUAUCCUGUAAGUUAAGGAAUUUACAAUAGAUUGUUCUCUUUAUUCCGUGGAAUAUUGCAAGGGGAGAAACCAAGAUGUCACUUGAUAUGUAUGAACAUCUCAAGGUGGUAGGGAAAGGAAGCUAUGGAGAAGUGUGGCUAGUCAAACAUAAAAAAGACAAAAAACAGUUUGUUAUUAAGAAAAUGGAACUGCUCCGAGCGUCCAAGAGGGAGAAGAAAGCUGCAGAACAAGAAGCAAAGUUACUAUCCAAGCUACGUCACCCGAACAUUGUAUCCUACAAGGAUUCAUUUGAGAGUGAGGAGGGUUUCUUAUACAUAGUAAUGGGAUUCUGUGAUGGUGGAGAUCUAUAUACUAGACUAAAGCAACAGAAGGCUGUAGCCUUAGAGGAACGUCAGGUUGUUGAAUGGUUUGUCCAGAUUGCCAUGGCUUUACAGUAUAUGCAUGAGCGAAACAUACUCCAUCGGGACCUGAAAACACAGAAUAUUUUCCUGACUAAGAGCAAGAUCAUCAAGGUUGGUGACCUAGGUAUCGCUAGGGUUUUGGAAGGCAACAAUGACAUGGCUACAACCUUAAUUGGAACACCCUAUUACAUGAGUCCUGAGCUAUUCAGCAAUAGGCCUUACAAUCAUAAGUCUGAUGUAUGGGCCUUAGGUUGCUGUGUAUAUGAGAUGACCACACUCAAACAUGCCUUCAAUGCAAAGGAUAUGAAUUCUUUAGUUUACAAGAUACUAAGAGGAAAGAUGCCUGCUAUGCCUCAACAGUACAGCACAGAACUGGUUGAACUCAUCAAGGCAACAUUGAAUCAGAGUCCAGAGAAGAGACCUAGUGUAUCCAGACUUCUACGCAACCCAUAUAUUAAGAAACACAUAGCUAUCUUCCUUGAGGGAACGAGAGCCAGGAGACCAAGCACAUCUUCUGAAAGUAGUAGGAGAGGGUCUAAAGCUGACAUCCAGGAAAUUGAAGAACAGUCCACACCAGACAGCGAGACAGGUGGAAAAGAUCUUCCUGCUAUCUCUGAGGUUCCUUCCAAAAAGCAGGUAAAAGAUAACCAGAGUAAAUCUUCCACUCCAAGACCCAUUUCAGCCGGGAAGGAAAGAAAGAGUGCACAAGGUGUUAGGAAAUCACAACCAUCGGCAAGCAAAGAAGGAAAGUCAAGAAGUAAUGUCAAAACACCUUCAGAGCCCAAGCUUCCACCCAAAAAAUCAAGGCCUCUACCAGUUCCUCCAAAAGGUGGGACUCCAGAAACAAGUAAAGGUGCCAAGAGGUCAACAAACUCAGCAAGUUCUUCAAGAACUUCAUCUACAAGUUCAGUGAGCAACUCUAGAGAUGAUGCAAGUACACCAAGAACAGAUAGAGGUUCUUCUGCAAGAGCUCGAAGGAGAGAGAAGUUGAGAGAAUCACAGGAACAUCAGUCACCAUUAUCACAAGUAAGAAGAAGUUCUGAUGCUGUUCAUCGAAGCCAUGAUGAAACAGAUAGUAAUCAUUCAAGGAGACCAGUCAGUCAUACCAAGUCAGAUCCUGGCUCAAAGGAGUCACCAGCAUCAUCCUCAACAUCACACUCUAGGGAUGAAAGAACAAACCGACAUACCCGCUCAGAAAGUAGAGAUACAGACUCAACGAUAUCAGAUGAGGAGGAGGAAGAGGAUGACAACAAGAGUUCAGGAAAGAAGAAGGGUGAUGGUGAUGAAAUGGAAGAGUUCUCCAAUCUUCUUGCAACAACUCUAAGGAUUGAAAAGAAGAAGAAAGUUGUAGGUGAAGGUGGAGACUUUGGUCGAGACUCCCCAGACACUCCAGAGGAACCUAGUCCACCACCCUCAGCUAGACCAGGAUCUGGUUCUAAUCUUAAUGGAACUCAGGAUAUAGCCAUAGAAGCAGCAGCUCCUAGAGCACCAAAAGGACUAGGUAAUGCAACAAUGACAACAUCUGGUCGUCUGAUGGACCGUAUUGCUAUGCUAAGGAAAGACAUCAUGCAAGGCAUUGGUAUUGAGCUAUUAACACAGGCCUAUGAGAUCUUAGAGAAAGAUGAUGAUGAAGAUACAGAGAUGGAUAAAGAGUAUCGAGAGACCCAGUUAAUGCAAUUAAUGGGAAAACAGAAGUUUGACAUCUAUGGAGGCAAAAUAUGGCAGUUGAAAUUCUGUGAAGAGACUGUAUUUGGAUGAAAUACCUUUAAGUCAAGAUAAAAAGGAAAGAUCUUAUGAAUUCAUAUCUUCAUCAGUGUGUGUAGUAUUGGAAAAGAAGGUGAGUGUGGCAUAAACAAAUACAGAUAUGUUAUACCGACUUGGUGCGGUAGAGUACCUGUGUUUAUGUGAGAUGAUGUCCACAUAAAGAAGAAAAGAAAUGCUACUUUGUAAAAUAUUUCUUGCUGUAAUCUGCAAAUGUGGACCAACAACUUGAAACUUUUUACUGUUAUUUGUUUUCUGUAAAACCUAUAUAGUUAAGUAUAGAUAUCAAGAUUUAUCAUCAGAUUGUAGUGAUAUGACAGACAACAGAAUACAAUACCUAUUGUAUUAUGCACCUGUAAACGAUUCAAACCACCAAUUUUCAUUUGAUUAUUAUAUUUAAUAUAUUACUCCUAAUCUGUUAUUUAUAUAUGGAUUCUGUAAAUUGUAGAUAUGUGAAAUGAGAUAUAAAAAUAGAAGGAUAUAGUGAUAGAGAAAUGUGUGUUUAUUUUCCGUCCAUGUGGGUACAAAUUUGACAAAGUUGUGAGUUUAAAAAUGAAUUGAAUUGAUUUUAUAGGUCUCAUUACAAAAUGAAACAAGUAAAAGCUGUUGAUGUUAUCAUUUCAUUUUCAUAAUCAGGAUUUAAAAUACAUUUAUCAUACAUCUCUUCCUUAACCAAACAUGGAAAACUUUGUGGUUAAGAAAUUUUCAGAGGAAGUGUUUGUAUUCAAAAAGUUUGUGCUAGAAUAAUCCUGGCUAUCAUGUUUGUUUUCUUGUUAAGUGAACCGUUUUCUUUUAUCUAUAUUCUAUUUUCAAAACCAUUGUGAUUUUCUAAUAUUUACUCAGUACUAAAUGCAAGAAAGUGGAGGAGAAGCAGUGGCAUGUAUAGUAUAACAUACUAGAAAAGUUAGGCUUUACUGAGAGCUUUAAACCAUGCUGUUAAUGCUGUAUCGUCAUUGUGUUCUGUUUAUACUAGAAAUCAAUUGACAUUUGUUAUUUUGUGUUUUCAUUUCCUUCCUUCCGGUGAAAUAAAAUGUAAUGGAUUAUGUUACAAUUUUUAUCUAUUUCUCCUUUCAAAUUGAAUUUGUCCAACACGAAAUAAAAGUGUUAAAAAUACAUGUACAUUGUCAAACACGAAAUAAAAGUGUUAAAAAUACAUGUACAUUGUAAACUAGAAUUAGGUACAUAAAGGUAAUUUGUCAGUGUCUUACAACUGUAAAUUUUGCUUUUUAAUAUAAAAAUUGUCAAGAUGAAUUCCAACCGAUAUGAAGCAAAUAAUGAGUUGUUUCUCCGAUACUUUUCAGCACUGCAAAUUCCAUGAGUGCUCCAUCAAACACAAUUUUUUUUUAAUGCUGCAUCAGUUACAAAAUCUUGGAUAUGAUGUGAAAAUUUAUUUACCCACUAUACUGUACUACUUAAUGUUAUAAAUUGCAGCAGGCUGCUAUGACCCCUUUUGACAAUAUGUUUAUUCAUGGAAAUGCUUCAAAAUUGUAAUUAAUCUCCCAAGAAUCUUUGUAAUGUUUUUGAUUUAGUUUUAAUGCAACAAUGAACAUACAAGUUGAAAUACACUCCCCAAACAUUCCAGGUGUACAUGUAUUACCUAUAGGUACUGAUUAAAACUUUAUACCAAAGUGUAGGCUGAAAGUAUAUGUGCAUGAUAGAAUUACUCAACCUAAUUAUCUGGGUCCAUUACACAAAGGCUUGAUUUUUAUGAUUGAUUGUACAUUGUAGUCAAUGCAAUCAAGUGUAGAAAAAUGUUCUACAAUCAUUGCUAAGCUUUGUGUUACGAGCCCCUGGUCUUAAGAACUGUACAGUUGGUCGUUCAGGCACCACUCAAGGUAUGGUAUGCUGUGAUUCACUCUUAUGAAUGGUGUUAAUAUGUAAUCCUUCUGGCAUGUAUACAUUUUAGAUAGCGUUCGAACACUCAUUAUUGGCAUAUCCUGCCUAUGUUGUAUAGAACACACCUGUGGUAGAGGUAGAAAUCCUAUUGGUAUCAGUAUCAUCCCUUGUACAAGUGUCUUACAAUGUACUUUUUAUGUGCCUAAACUUUUUUUAGUGUUCCUGAAUAAUACUCAAAUAGUCUAAUAAAAAGGGAAGAUUAAGAUUAUUUCAUUUCUCAUCACAAUCUUUUGAUUUCUUUGAAUAUGAGUCUGAAGUUUUUUUUCAAGUUUUGUUCUAAUACCAGCCAAAUGUGAAUCAUGACUGAAUAAGUCAAUUAUCUGUAUUCUUCUGCAUAUGUAGAUAUUGUGCCUAUGCCAUAGUAGUUAUAUAAAUUGAAUUAUUCAUUUGGAGUGUAGUUGUGCAUUAAUAGACAUGGUAUUUUGCUUGUUGACCAAGAAAAAAGGUGAUGUUUGCCUUGUAAUGAAUAUAUAUUGAAUUAUUAAAGACAGAAGAUUCUGGCUAAUUCAUAUUUUAUUUUGUAGAGUUUCACAGUGUAAUCUGUUUAUUCAUGGUUUUCUUAGAAGACAUCUUUUUGUGUUUCUUUCCUUCUCCAUCUCUCUCUCUCCCCCCCCCCCCAUCUCUUUUUUUUUCUUUUCUCUUUCUCCCCCUCUCCCAUAUCCUCUAGGAAGUAAAAGAAAUGACCAGACAAUCUCAAAAGUAGUACUGUAAACAAAUAUUGAUGGAAGUAUAUAUAUCAAUUAUGAAGCAAUUACUAGUUAUAAUCCAACAUGAUACACACAUAGUACUUAGUUUUGUGUCUCGCCUGACUGAAGUUCGGUAGAGACAUAGUAGUAAUCACCUUUCCUGUUAGUCUGUUCGAAAAUGUUAAACAUUUUCGAACAGACUAACAGGAAAAGAGAUAGUUAUUGUUCAAUUUGCUCUCAUUACUUUAUUUCUACACCAAUUUAGUUCAUACUUUGUACAUAUGAUCCUUGGUAAAUAUCACAUGUGUGUCCGGGAGGGUGAUGGGGUCAAAAUUCAUCUAGGGGUCAAAAGGUCAAAUAAUAUGAGGCCAUGUCUGUUCCAAAAAUGUUAAAAAUUAUUUUCAGUUUGCUCUCAUUUCUUUAUUUCUGCAUCAAAUAUGUUGAGACUUGGUACAUUAUGAUCAUAGGGUACUACCACAUAUGUGUCCAUGAGGGUGAUGGGGUCAAAGGUUACAUAAGGUAAAAAGUUCAAGCUUUUGUUCGACUUGCUCUUAUUUCUGCAUCAAUUAUGUUCAUGCUUGGCUAAUAGGAUCCUUGGAUAAUACAUGUACCACAUGUGUCUCCAUAAGGGUGAUGGGGGCAAAGGUCAUCUAGGGGUCAAAAGGUCAAGUUUUUGUUCAAAAUGCUCUCACUGCUUUAUUUCUGCAUCAAUUAUGUUGACACUUGGUUCAUAUGAUCCUUGGGUAUUACCAUAUGCACGUCCAUGAGGAUGAUGGGGUCAAAAGGUCAAAUGAUAAUGUUAAAUUUUUUGUUCAUCUUGCUUUUAUUUCUUUCUUUCUGCAUCAGUUAUGUUGACACUUCGUUCAUAUGAUCCUGCACGUCCAUGAGGGUGAUGGGGUCAAAAGGUCAAAUGAUAAUGUUAAUUUUUUUGUUCAUCUUGCUUUUAUUUCUUUCUGCAUCAGUUAUGUUGACACUUCGUUCAUAUGAUCCUUGGGUAAUGUCCAUGAGAGUGAUGGGGUCAAAGGUCAAAAUGUCAAGUUCUCAUUCAAACUGCUCUAAUUUCUUUAUUUUUACACUUGGUACAAAUAACCAUUCGGUAAUACCACACAUAUGUCGAUGAGGAUAA